UAUAUACUCCCUCCGUCCCGAAUUACUUGUCGCAGAAAUGAAUGUAUCUAGAUCUAUUUUAGUUGUAGAUUCAUCCAUUUUCAUACAAUUCCGUGACAAGUAAUUCCAGACAGAGGGAGUAUCAA
rfam:Hordeum vulgare subsp. vulgare, WGS project CAJW01000000 data, contig: morex_contig_1560155